UGGGGUGUAGUUCAGUAGUAGAACAUAUGCUUCUCAUGUACAUGGUACUGGGUUCAAAUUCUGGCUCCUCUA
rnacentral:tRNA from 1 species